UGACUAUGACAAAGGACAGAUAGAAAUAUCUUGAGAUAGAGGUUGCACCUGCUCCAAGACCAACACCAGAUCUUGUAGAGAACCUGGAGUUCCCAGAAAGAGCCCCAAGAUGAAAGUUACUCUUGGUACCACUCUCUUCAGGUAGUUGGAGAAAGAUUUGAGGAACACAUUAAAACCAUAUCUCUUCUCUUGCAAAAGUUUGACCAAUCAAUGAAAGAGCACGUAGGAGCUUUAGAUAAACUGGCAAGUAACCGUAUCAAGAACUUAGGGGAAUGGCUCGAAGAAAAUACUAGAGAUCUUAAUGUGUGGCUCAAUAUGUACUUUUGGGCCCUACAAGAGUUUCACAACAGAUAUAUGAAACAUCCUGAUUAUAUGCUGGCUAAGGAGAUUGUACUCCGUGACAAAUGUUGGAAUGAAGAUAUCAAUAAAGCAAAUCCGUUGCUGGAAUAUUCUAACAGUAGCUUGUAUACGUGGUUGGAGGAAGCCCCUAUAAUCAUCUACAAAGCCCUGAGGAUGCAAGGUAGUAACCUUCAAAUAUACACUGAAAUUCAAAUCCAGCACAUAGAAGAUCACGUAAGAUUCUUAGAACAGUUAUUGGAUAAUUACAGUGCAGCAGCCAAUAAAUGGCUAGAAGAUUAUGCUACAGUUAAAGAAACAUCCUCUCAGGAUUUCACAUGGGACUUUUUCACGGUGGGUUCAAAGGCACAAAAGCUAGGAAGAGAAUUUGUAACAGCCUUGCAAGGGAAUUGCCUUAUGGUCAUGAAAUGGCUUGAAGAGAAUGUUGAGCGCAUUGAACAGUUGCUGUGGAAUAUCAUAAAUUAGUAGCAGAAGAACAAAUAGCAUUUUAAAGACUUUUCAGUAAUUUUACACAGUUUCAGCUGAGUUCUACAUAACAUCCAUUCCAGGAAGAAUCCAAAUAUGCUAUGGAUUUCUGCAGUCCACACACUUACAGGCUGUACUAUCUGAGCAGGAAUAAAAACUUUAGAAAUA